GAUGAACGCUGGCGGCGUGCCUAAUACAUGCAAGUCGAACGAAACUUCUUUAUCACCGAGUGCUUGCACUCACCGAUAAAGAGUUGAGUGGCGAACGGGUGAGUAACACGUGGGCAACCUGCCCAAAAGAGGGGGAUAACACAUGGAAACAGGUGCUAAUACAGCAUAACCAUAGUUACCGCAUGGUAACUAUGUAAAAGGUGGCUAUACUACCGCUUUUGGAUGGGCCCGCGGCGCAUUAGCUAGUUGGUAGGGUAAAGGCUUACCAAGGCAAUGAUGCGUAGCCGAAUUGAGAGGUUGAUCGGCCACAUUGGGACUGAGACACGGCCCAAACUCCUACGGGAGGCAGCAGUAGGGAAUCUUCCACAAUGGGCGAAAGCCUGAUGGAGCAACGCCGCGUGGGUGAAGAAGGUCUUCGGAUCGUAAAACCCUGUUGUUAGAGAAGAAAGUGCGUGAGAGUAACUGUUCACGUUUCGACGGUAUCUAACCAGAAAGCCACGGCUAACUACGUG
rnacentral:rRNA from 1 species